GUCUAUAGCCAUACCACCCUGAAAACACCCAAUCCUGUCUGAUCUUGGAAGCUAAGCAAGGUUGUGCCUGGUUAGUAUUUGGGUGAGCUAUAGGCU
rnacentral:rRNA from 1 species